rnacentral:rRNA from 1 species
AUACGUAGGUUGCGAGCGUUAAUCGGAAUUACUGGGCGUAAAGCGUGCGCAGGUGGUUUUGUAAGUCAGAUGUGAAAUCCCCGGGCUUAACCUGGGAACUGCGUUUGAAACUGCAAGGCUAGAGUGUGGCAGAGGGGGGUGGAAUUCCGCGUGUAGCAGUGAAAUGCGUAGAGAUGUGGAGGAACACCGAUGGCGAAGGCAGCCCCCUGGGUCAACACUGACGCUCAGGCACGAAAGCAUGGGGAGCAAACAGGAUUAGAAACCCCAGUAGUCC